UGCCAGCAGCCGCGGUAAUACGGAGGGUGCAAGCGUUGUUCGGAAUUAUUGGGCGUAAAGCGCGUGUAGGCGGCUUCGUCAGUCGGGUGUGAAAUCCCAGGGCCCAACCCUGGAACUGCACUCGAUACUGCGGAGCUAGAGUCUUGGAGAGGAUGGCGGAAUUCCGGGUGUAGAGGUGAAAUUCGUAGAUAUCCGGAGGAACACCAGUGGCGAAGGCGGCCAUCUGGACAAUGACUGACGCUGAGACGCGAAAGCGUGGGGAGCAAACAGGAUUAGGUA
rnacentral:rRNA from 1 species